GACGAACGCUGGCGGCGUGCUUAACACAUGCAAGUCGAACGGAAAGGCCCUGCUUUUGUGUGGUGCUCGAGUGGCGAACGGGUGAGUAACACGUGAGUAACCUGCCCUUGACUUUGGGAUAACAUCAGGAAACUGGGGCUAAUACCGGACAGUAGCUCCUGCUGCAUGGUGGGGGUUGGAAAGUUUCGGCGGUUGGGGAUGGACUCGCGGCUUAUCAGCUUGUUGGUGGGGUAGUGGCUUACCAAGGCUUUGACGGGUAGCCGGCCUGAGAGGGUGACCGGCCACAUUGGGACUGAGAUACGGCCCAGACUCCUACGGGAGGCAGCAGUGGGGAAUAUUGCACAAUGGGCGGAAGCCUGAUGCAGCAACGCCGCGUGCGGGAUGACGGCCUUCGGGUUGUAAACCGCUUUCGCCUGUGACGAAGCGUGAGUGACGGUAAUGGGUAAAGAAGCACCGGCUAACUACGUG
rnacentral:rRNA from 1 species